rnacentral:rRNA from 1 species
UACGUAGGGGGCAAGCGUUGUCCGGAUUUAUUGGGCGUAAAGAGCGUGUAGGCGGCCAGGUAGGUCCGUUGUGAAAACUCGAGGCUCAACCUCGAGACGUCGAUGGAAACUGUCUGGCUAGAGUCCGGAAGAGGAGAAUGGAAUUCCUGGUGUAGCGGUGAAAUGCGCAGAUAUCAGGAAGAACACCCGUGGCUAAGGCGGUUCUCUGGGCAUUACCUGACGCUGAGGAGCGAAAGCGUGGGGAGCAAACAGG